CUUGGAAAAAUUCCUGUACUCACCGUACGUUCUCGUUCCCCUUGUUACGCGUUCCGGGGCAUCUGUGACGCUGGAAGCCUUCCUCGUCCCCUCCUAUAUAUAAAAGAAGACCUUCAGCUCGCAGGAAGGAAAUCCAAGCAACAAACUUGGCAUUCUGGCCUGUUCUUGCCAGGAGAAACAAAGAUCGAUGAGGCCUCAGGUGAUACUCGUCGGCACUCUGGCUGUUAUCGCUAUCCUCGCAGCUCUCGGCGAAGGCUCGUCGUGGCCGUGCUGCGACAACUGCGGUGCUUGCAACAGGAAGCAGCCGCCGGAGUGCCAGUGCAAUGACGUGUCGGUGAACGGGUGCCACCCGGAGUGCAAGAACUGCGUCAAGGUCGGUGCAGGAAUUCGUCCCGGCAUGGGCCCCGGCCCCGUCGUCACCUACCGCUGUGAUGACGUUCUCACAAACUUCUGCCAGACCAGCUGCCCGGAGGCGCCGGCGCCGUAGGCGGCGUUGCUGGGUGGUGUCUUCUUCUGACGUACGGCAUGCAUGGGACGCCGCCGUACGUCGAUCUGCUGCAAGCAUGCAUGCCAAGUCGAGUUUCCAGCUUCGUCAGAGAAGAAAUAGAUAAAUAAAUGUCGCCGGCCGCUCUGUUCGGUGCUUGCUCUUGUUCGUCGUCGGUCUCUCUCUCUCUCUUUUUUUUUUUUUCUAGAAUAAAGAGCCAUAUGCAUGCAUGAUGCAUAUGCCAUGCUCAAAGCACUGUUGGAUGGUUUUCGUUUACCAGCUUCGUGAGGUCCUUCGAUUUUUGUUCUCUUUGCAGCUGUUAUAUAUCGUGUCGAGUCAUGACAAUAUCUUAACCGGAUCUAGUAACCGAUAAACACGGAAGCACAACCAUCAUAGAAGCAAAUAUGCAAACAAAAACGAC
rnacentral:misc_RNA from 1 species